GUGCUUACUUUGUCAGCACAUAUACUAAAACAUGAAUGAUAGAGAGAUUAGCAUGGCCCCUGUGCAAAGAUGACACACAAAUUCAUGAAGGGUUCCAUAUUAAA
ensembl:snRNA U6 U6 spliceosomal RNA